CUACGUAUAGACAAUUUAAUACUCAUGAAUUCAUUUAAGAAAUACGAUAGACAUGCUCAUGAAAGAAGUAGUACCUUAUAGAAAAUAUAGUAUGUGAUCCACUUGCAGUUGAGUAAAGUGAUGAGUUGAAUGCCUCUGAGACUUGACAUUUCAGUUGAUGUACCUUUCUUGUACUGAUCAAGUCCAGUGGUUGUUGGCAUAAGUCUUGGCAGGUCUAGAAUCUUCCAAA
rnacentral:lncRNA from 1 species